rnacentral:rRNA from 1 species
UACGUAGGGGGCAAGCGUUGUCCGGAUUUAUUGGGCGUAAAGAGCGCGCAGGCGGUUCUUUAAGUCUGAUGUGAAAGCCCACGGCUCAACCGUGGAGGGUCAUUGGAAACUGGAGAACUUGAGUACAGAAGAGGAAAGCGGAAUUCCACGUGUAGCGGUGAAAUGCGUAGAGAUGUGGAGGAACACCAGUGGCGAAGGCGGCUCUUUGGUCUGUAACUGACGCUGAGGCGCGAAAGCGUGGGGAGCGAACAGG